AUUGAACGCUGGCGGCAUGCCUUACACAUGCAAGUCGAACGGCAGCAUGAUCUAGCUUGCUAGAUUGAUGGCGAGUGGCGAACGGGUGAGUAAUACAUCGGAACGUGCCCUGUAGUGGGGGAUAACUAGUCGAAAGAUUAGCUAAUACCGCAUACGACCUGAGGGUGAAAGUGGGGGACCGCAAGGCCUCAUGCUAUAGGAGCGGCCGAUGUCUGAUUAGCUAGUUGGUGAGGUAAAGGCUCACCAAGGCGACGAUCAGUAGCUGGUCUGAGAGGACGAUCAGCCACACUGGGACUGAGACACGGCCCAGACUCCUACGGGAGGCAGCAGUGGGGAAUUUUGGACAAUGGGCGAAAGCCUGAUCCAGCAAUGCCGCGUGUGUAAGAAGGCCUUCGGGUUGUAAAGCACUUUUGUCCGGAAAGAAAUGGCUCUGGUUAAUACCUGGGGUCGAUGACGGUACCGGAAGAAUAAGGACCGGCUAACUACGUG
rnacentral:rRNA from 1 species